AUUGAACGCUGGCGGCAGGCCUAACACAUGCAAGUCGAACGAGUGGCGGACGGGUGAGUAAUGUCUGGGAAACUGCCUGAUGGAGGGGGAUAACUACUGGAAACGGUAGCUAAUACCGCAUACCAUCGGAUGUGCCCAGAUGGGAUUAGCUAGUAGGUUGGGUAAAGGCUCACCUAGGCGACGAUCCCUCGCUGGGCUGAGAGGAUGACCAGCCACACUGGAACUGCGAAACGGUCCAGACUCCUACGGGAGGCAGAAGUGGGGAAUAUUGCACAAUGGGCGCAAGCCUGAUGAAGCCAUGACGCGUGUAUGAAGAAGGCCUUCGGGUUGUAAAGUACUGUCAGCGGGGAGGCGGUAGACGAAGAAGAAGCACCGGCUAACUCCGUGCCAGCAGCCGCGGUAAUUG
rnacentral:rRNA from 1 species